GUGACCUUAGUAGUAAUGGUUAGCUAUCCUGGAUGUGACCCAGGGAGUACGGGUUCAAAUCCCGUAGGUCACC
rnacentral:tRNA from 1 species